rnacentral:misc_RNA from 1 species
AUCGAAGCCUCAUGCCAAUUUCCUUUUGACAGGUAUUGUGCGGGGUGAAUGUUGGCCUCCCGUGAGCUCUUUCGUCUCAUGGUUGGUUGAAAAUUGAGACCUUGGUAGGGUGUGCCAUGAUAGAUGGUGGUUGUGUGACCCACGAGACCAAUCAUGCGCUACUCUAUUGAGUUUGGCCUCUUUUACCCAUAUGCGUUUCUAAACGCUCGUG